AUCGGAUUGAAGAAGCAAACAACUGUUAAGUAUAAAAUAGAAUCAUCCUUAUUGUUUGUUGUCUUGGUUGUCCUACGCUUGUUUAGAGAUGAGGACUCUGUGGCUAUUUAUGAGUGUGGUUAUUCUGAUACACCAUGUCCAAUAUGGUUCGUUAAAAAACAUACAGAUAUGCAGUGGUCAUGAACUGAAGAAAGCCAUGACAGCAUUUUGUGCUUUUGUGAAACGCAGUGUUUCUGCAGAUCCUAGUCAAGGAGUUUACAAUUUAUACCCGUACCGACGUACAAGAGGAGUUCUGAAUUUUGUUAAUUUCGACAAUGUUAUCAAAACCUGUUGUUCAAUGGGCUGCCCUCUCGAGAUAUUUGCGAACCUAUGUUGAUAUAUAUCCCUCGAGAUGCGAUGGAUACGAAAGUUUGGUUCAUCGAAACAAAACUGGAAUUUAAAGGGAAAGAAAAAAUCAUAUGGAUUUGUAUAUUACUAUAUAUGUUAGUAGUUUAUGUAUAGAAAAUAUAUUUCAUCUUAAGUCUUUUAUGGUAGAUUGUAUCUUUUGGAUUAUUAUGCACCAUGUUUACAAACAUACUUUAUGCUUUUACGAAACAUUCGAGUUGAAAUUGUUACCAUAUAAGCUGACCUGUGAUCUGCAGAUAUUUCGUAUUUUUGGUAUAUUUCUGUGGUUAUCUCAAAUAUUUAUUAACCUUAGAUAUUUUAAUAAAGGUAAUUAGGCUUUGUACCUCGAAAUAGAAAACAAGAAAAUAGAGACAUUAGUAAUGUUGUUUACAAUUCCAUGGUUUUGGAGUGAAUACUUUAAAGAUGGUGUAGGAGCUAGCGAAACCUUUUUUUUAUGUUACAAUAAUAUAGAAUGGAAAAAUAAAAACACAUGUAUUUUUGAAUUGUUUUAACUGAAAGGGGCAUUAAAUUAGUAAAUUAGAAAAUAGAUAAUUCAUAGAAAUCAAUCCAGUUUAGUGUGUUUUAUAUUAUCACAUCUCUUUCCUUAAACAUUCACCACACGAAGAAUAGUAGAAUCACUACACCUUUUCAAAGCUGUUUCUAUAUUAUUUUAUGCAAAUUUUUGACGUAGGAAAAUAUCCACACAAUCCAAAUAGCGGUUAUAAAACUGUCUUCCGAAGAUUUUGUCACAAUAAAUUCACUAAAUAGAAAAAUCACUUUAGUGAUUUCAGUAUUAACAUGGAAACACUUAGCAUAGAUUGUAUACGUAUAGAUCUGAUUGUUAAAACAUAGAACACUCUAGACAUCAAAUAUGACCCUAGCGCUAUGAUUAUAGACACAAAAAUAUUAGACAUAGCUUUUACUUCUGGUGAUUUCCUUACUGACACAAUAAUGUAAAACAUAGAAUCGAAUCCUAGAAUUUUAAUCGUUCACACAUAAAAACACUGAACACACUUUGUUUUAAUCCUACAGAUUUUAUUAAUGACACAAGAAUAACAAAAACGGUAUUUUCCAAACAAUAUCACCUCCACAUUAGCAGAGUACCCGUUUUCUAGCUUUCUUUGUCUUAUAUAUAUACUAAAUGGAGGUUUAUUUGUGCAUUGCUGUCUAUUAUUUUAUUCAUCAUACAUGCUAUUAUAGUUAAAUGAUAAAACGUUAU